UACGUAGGGGGCAAGCGUUGUCCGGAAUCAUUGGGCGUAAAGCGCACGUAGGCGGCUUUGCAAGUCCCAUGUGAAAUCCCACGGCUCAACCGUGGAAGUGCAUGGGAAACUGCAGAGCUUGAGUACUUAAGAGGAUCGCGGAAUUCCCGGUGUAGAGGUGAAAUUCAUAGAUAUCGGGAGGAACACCAGUGGCGAAGGCGGCGAUCUGGGAAGAUACUGACGCUGAGGUGCGAAAGCGUGGGGAGCAAACAGG
rnacentral:rRNA from 1 species